GCCAGACUCCUACGGGAGGCAGCAGUGGGGGAUAUUGCACAAUGGGGGGAACCCUGAUGCAGCGACGCCGCGUGGGUGAAGGAGCGUUUCGGCGCGUAAAGCCCUAUCGGCAGGGAAGAAGGAGGACGGUACCUGACUAAGAAGCCCUGGCUAACUACGUGCCAGCAGCCGCGGUAAUACGUAGGGGGCAAGCGUUAUCCGGAUUUACUGGGUGUAAAGGGGGCGCAGACGGCAGCGCAAGCCAGGAGUGAAAGCCCGGGGCCCAACCCCGGGACUGCUCUUGGAACUGCGCGGCUGGAGUGCAGGAGGGGCAGGCGGAAUUCCUGGUGUAGCGGUGAAAUGCGUAGAUAUCAGGAGGAACACCGGUGGCGAAGGCGGCCUGCUGGACUGCGACUGACGUUGAGGCCCGAAAGCGUGGGGAGCAAACAGGAUUAGAUACCCCAGUAC
rnacentral:rRNA from 1 species